GGAGAGAUGUCCGAGCGGCUUAUGGUGACAGUCUCGAAAACUGUUGUGGGUUUAUAGCCCACCUGGGGUUCAAAUCCCCAUCUCUCCG
rnacentral:tRNA from 1 species